rnacentral:rRNA from 1 species
AGCGAACGCUGGCGGCAGGCUUAACACAUGCAAGUCGAGCGGGCGUAGCAAUACGUCAGCGGCAGACGGGUGAGUAACGCGUGGGAACAUACCUUUUGGUUCGGAACAACACAGGGAAACUUGUGCUAAUACCGGAUAAGCCCUUACGGGGAAAGAUUUAUCGCCGAAAGAUUGGCCCGCGUCUGAUUAGCUAGUUGGUGAGGUAACGGCUCACCAAGGCGACGAUCAGUAGCUGGUCNGAGAGGAUGAUCAGCCACAUUGGGACUGAGACACGGCCCAAACUCCUACGGGAGGCAGCAGUGGGGAAUAUUGGACAAUGGGCGCAAGCCUGAUCCAGCCAUGCCGCGUGAGUGAUGAAGGCCCUAGGGUUGUAAAGCUCUUUUGUGCGGGAAGAUAAUGACGGUACCGCAAGAAUAAGCCCCGGCUAACUUCGUGCCAGCCGCCGCUGUAAC